UUAAGUUCAGCGGGUAUUCCUACCUGAUCCGAGGUCAACCUUAGAAAGAUUCUCCCUGAGGGGAGGCAGACCGUGUCCCGUAAACCCAUGUGUCCGAUACGUGUCCCGUGAAGAACUCAGUCGUACCGGGGGUCCAACGAGGCCGCCGUCAUUGUCUUUGGGACGGGGCAGGAGCCCCCGAGGGGACCUCCACCCAAACC
rnacentral:misc_RNA from 1 species